AGCCCGGCAGAGACAGGGCACUGGUUUCCCUCUACCAGAGUUCCUGACCCAGCCGAGAACAAACCGCGAAGCAAGUUCAGCCGAACAACGAUGGUGAAAAGGGUCCUCCUGCUCACAGUGUGAAUAACAGGAUAUCCUCAGACCAUCUCAAAAAGGAGGAAAAGAUGACUAUGAUGGCUCACCAGUACCCCUCUUGGAUCUUCAUUAAUGAGAAGACAUUCAUAACCAGUUUUUCACCUGCUGAAGUCUGUUUCAAAUAUUCUUGGUUCCUGCUCUUAAACAUGGCAACACACACAGUGGAAUGGUUGUUUUGCUUUGUUUUGUUUUGUUUUGUUUUGUUUUUUUGAGACAGAGUCUCACUGUCGCUCAGGCUGGAGUGCAGUGGUGUGAUCUCCACUCACUGCAACCUCCACCUCCCGGGUUCACGCCAUUCUUCUGCCUAGACUCACGAGUAGCUGGGACUACAGGCGCCGGCCACCACACCUGGCUAUUUUUUUCUAUUUUUUAGUAGAGAUGGGGUUUCACCAUGUUAGCCAGGAUGGUCUCCAUCUCCUGACCUCGUGAUCCGCCCACCUCGGCCUCCCAAAGUGCUGGGAUGAAAUGUUGUUCUUAAUGUUGUUGUCACUAAGCAGCUCAGUGGCUGCUUAAUUGGAACCAUGAACAUUUUUCAGCAAGUCUCCAAGAAGCAGAAGUAAUACAAACUCAGGAAGCACAGCCAGGGGAUAAACAUGCCUUUGG
rnacentral:lncRNA from 10 species